CGACUAGUUUUUAAUACGUGCGAAAUAUACCUCUAACUUGUCAAAUUUUGGAAUCUAAAACCCCUAAGGGGAUGUUUGGUAUAGGGAAAUGGAAUUGUUUCCAUUUCUCUUGUUUGUAUAACAUGAUUAUGACCUAAACAAUUUUUCUACUAGUCGAAUAUUGGCAACCCAUCGAAGACUGGCAACGAACAAUUAUGCAAAUAAGGGUUUAACCACUUGAGGGUGUUUGAAAGUUGUGGCCUGUUUAUCUCAUUCUUUUUUCUUUUAUGUUGCGCAUUAGUAUACGGGCUUUCAGAGGAGUUGUUGACCUUCAAAACAUUCAGAGAUGUUGCACACACCACCUGCUCGAUGAAAUGUCACAGUUAGUCUUCAAACACAAAUACAAAAUCAUAGUUAGUAUAUCGAGUUCUUACCUUAGACAUGGUUGCAAAAGGGCUUCCUUUGGGUACCCUCCUUCUCUCCAAGUGGGAGAUCAAUAUUGUAAGUAGUUAUUACCCAUGUUUAUGAGUUUAUCUUUUGUUAUGGUGCUUUUGAAAUGACGACCUGGUUUGAUAGUUUGUAAAACAAUGGCUACGUUAUGGUAUGUUUUAAGCAAUACAUAUGUUAUGGUCCAUGCUAGUUUUUCA